UCGACCGCCUGGGGAGUACGGCCGCAAGGUUAAAACUCAAAGGAAUUGACGGGGACCCGCACAAGCGGUGGAUGAUGUGGUUUAAUUCGAUGCAACGCGAAAAACCUUACCUACCCUUGACAUGCCAGGAACUUACCAGAGAUGGUUUGGUGCUCGAAAGAGAGCCUGGACACAGGUGCUGCAUGGCUGUCGUCAGCUCGUGUCGUGAGAUGUUGGGUUAAGUCCCGCAACGAGCGCAACCCUUGUCAUUAGUUGCUACGCAAGAGCACUCUAAUGAGACCGCCGGUGACAAACCGGAGGAAGGUGGGGAUGACGUCAAGUCCUCAUGGCCCUUAUGGGUAGGGCUACACACGUCAUACAAUGGGCGGUACAGAGGGUUGCCAACCCGCGAGGGGGAGCCAAUCCCUUAAAACCGCUCGUAGUCCGGAUUGUAGUCUGCAACUCGACUGCAUGAAGUCGGAAUCGCUAGUAAUCGCGGAUCAGCUUGCCGCGGUGAAUACGUUCCCGGGUCUUGUACACACCGCCCGUCACACCAUGGAAGUGGGGUUUACCAGAAGUAGUUAGCUUAACCGCAAGGGGGGCGAUUACCACGGUAGGCUUCAUGACUGGGGUGAAGUCGUAACAAGGUAACC
rnacentral:rRNA from 1 species